ACAUGCAAGUCGAGCGGUAGAGAGGUGCUUGCACCUCUUGAGAGCGGCGGACGGGUGAGUAAUGCCUAGGAAUCUGCCUGGUAGUGGGGGAUAACGCUCGGAAACGGACGCUAAUACCGCAUACGUCCUACGGGAGAAAGCAGGGGACCUUCGGGCCUUGCGCUAUCAGAUGAGCCUAGGUCGGAUUAGCUAGUUGGUGGGGUAAUGGCUCACCAAGGCGACGAUCCGUAACUGGUCUGAGAGGAUGAUCAGUCACACUGGAACUGAGACACGGUCCAGACUCCUACGGGAGGCAGCAGUGGGGAAUAUUGGACAAUGGGCGAAAGCCUGAUCCAGCCAUGCCGCGUGUGUGAAGAAGGUCUUCGGAUUGUAAAGCACUUUAAGUUGGGAGGAAGGGCAGUUACUUAAUACGUGACUGUCUUGACGUUACCGACAGAAUAAGCACCGGCUAACUCUGUGCCAGCAGCCGCGGUAAUACAGAGGGUGCAAGCGUUAAUCGGAAUUACUGGGCGUAAAGCGCGCGUAGGUGGUUCGUUAAGUUGGAUGUGAAAUCCCCGGGCUCAACCUGGGAACUGCAUUCAAAACUGUCGAGCUAGAGUAUGGUAGAGGGUGGUGGAAUUUCCUGUGUAGCGGUGAAAUGC
rnacentral:rRNA from 1 species